rnacentral:rRNA from 1 species
ACUCUCGGCAACGGAUAUCUCGGCUCACGCAUCGAUGAAGAACGUAGCAAAAUGCGAUACUUGGUGUGAAUUGCAGAAUCCCGUGAACCAUCGAGUCUUUGAACGCAAGUUGCGCCCAAAGCCAUUUGGUUGAGGGCACGUCUGCCUGGGCGUMACGCAUCGUGUCGC